rnacentral:lncRNA from 1 species
AUUACUCCAUUCAUUGUUCUAAUCAUGUAGGUAUAGGUUUUGACUGGCGGUUUCGAGAUUUUCCAGUCAUUGGAAUUUCUCUUGGCACCCACUCUUUGCCGGUGCGUGGGCACUAUUUGGGUAACUCUUUUGGUCCUAAAAUGAUCCUCAUGUCGUCCUGAGCACGACGGUAUACUUGGAUUUGAAUUUGGUUAUCGUUUGACUGUCGAUCGGAUUAUGCAUAUUAGGCAUUAUUCGGGUUCGAUAUGUUUGGACCUUUGGAUCGACUUCAUUUUCAAAUAUGUUGAUCUAGGCACCUCUAGGAUCGUGUAAGAAUUUAUGGAUCGUGAAUCGGAGUCUCGGAUGCUUCCAUUCAAUGAUUCAAAGAUUAGGUUAAACGGUAACUGUCUGUUCGAUCACGAGCGAUCCAACCGUUUGAUUUAGACCAAACUUGUAGGAGGUAUAAUAAACUUUGUUGAACCCAUAGGAACUUUUGGAUCGGAAAUCGGAGGUCGUGGGCCCGGUUGACCAAAUUUGGGAAGUUUAACCACUCGGUUGACCGAGCGUCUACCAAGGCUAUUCCACCAUUCGAAGCACGUAGUUGGACCUUAGGAACUUCUCGUUCGUCGUACACAUAUUUAAAUCCUAGGAAAACUAGGAUUUUAUUUAAGGUUCUUGUUCGAAGAAAUUUAUGUUAAUCUAGUCCUCAUAUUCAGAAAUAGGUACUCCA